ensembl:lncRNA
CUAAAGCCAUGCUGAGGGUGCCAUCUGGUGGCUGAAAGAGACCCAGCACGCUCCCACCCCUAGCCAUACCUUGGGCUUCUCUGUUGGUUGAUAUUUAUUUCUUCACAAAUGUUUAAGAAUGCCUAUAUGUGCCAGGCAACAAUAGAGCAAGCAGUAGUAUUUUUUUAAACUUUUUUUUUCUUUUGGGGCCAUACCCAUAUGGCCAGGAGUCGAACCUUCGUCCUCAUGGACACCAGUCAGAUUCAUUUCAGCUGAGCAACGAUGGGAACUCGAACAAACGGUAGGAUUAAUAGCAUUGUUUUAUAACAGUCAUUUCUUGGUUGGGUGCAAAUAAAAACUUACACUGGAAAUGGAAGGAAAUAACAAGCCAGUUCUUUAAAACUUAUAAGGCAUGAAAUUCAGGUUGAAGCUCCUUUUUCUAUCUUAUGCCACUUUUUAGGGCAGAGGGUUAGUCAAUCUUGGACAAAGUCAUAAUCGUGGAGAGAGUAAGGAGGGGGAACAGAAGGGGAAGGAGGGAGGGAGGGCGAGAAACUUGGAAUGGGAGGUUGUGGGGGCACAAGAGCUGAAAGGUUGAUAGAACUUUCCAGAAAGUGACAUUCAUACCUUAUCUUUGUUUUUAGGUUCCCUUUGGUGAAAUGUUUUCUCUGUUUAUACCGUUGCUGAACGAACGGAACCUUACACUGUAUGAAGCUGUUUUCAUGCAUUAUUACACUUGCGUCAGGCAGCCAGGCCUGGGAAACAGAAGCUUGAUUUCUGAAGACAUCCCCGGGCAAACUCCACUUUUCCGUCCUCUGUCUUCACCUACUCUGACCUUCCUCGGUUCCAGAACUGAAGAGUGACAGGCCCAGAAGAAUUCAGCCCCACCGCGAUCAGCAGGCACCCCCCACACCCAUGGAUGCACCUUCUGGGGCGGGGGGGGGGGGGACUUUUCCGAGGCCCCCCCCCCGGCUUUAUACUGGAAGAUGAUUGGAUAGCUGUAGGGAAGCAGCACUGAGAGGCUGCCCCCACACCCCUCCCCCCACCCCCUUCUCCAUUUGUUGUGAGCUGUCCCUGAGAUAAAGGUAUAACUUGGAGCUCCCCUCCCCCUAAUCCUUGAGAAUUACCUAAACUUUGGAUGGGAUUCCCUAUGUGGUCGCCAGAGGGGCGUUAAACAUAGAGUCCAGUCCUGUCCCUUCCCAGCCUGCCUGAGAGCGUGUCUGCCGAGCUCCUGGCAAGCAACCCCCUCUCUCCAACCUCUAGCCACACUGGCUGUCCCUCAAAGGGGACAAGCUCCCAUCGUCGUCCUCCCUUUGCCCGAAGCUUCCCCAGCAUCCCUGUAGGGCUCUAUUCAUCCUGUAGGUCUUAGCUUAAAAUCACCUCCUUGACUGUUUAGUCCCCAUCACAACCGCACCUGGCUCAUUCUGGCACUUGUAACUCUUGCUAUGUGCCAUUGCUUGAAGUCACCUAUCAGGAUUUUUCUUCUGGGUGCUACCUAGAGGAUUGCUUUGUCAAACGGAGACAGGUUUGUGAUGGGUAAUUUUAUGUGUCAAUUGGACUGAGCUGCAGAAGCUCAGAGAGCUGGGUGUGUCCAAAGAGAUUAGAAUUUGAAUUGGGAGAAUGAAUAAAGAAGAUCAACCUCCCUGAGGCA